rnacentral:SRP_RNA from 14 species
AUUGUGCAACUCGGCUGUGAACCGUCUCAGGUCCGGGAGCAAGUCGCGCUCAGUCGGGACGGAGUGCCGCAAA